rnacentral:misc_RNA from 1 species
UAUGAAGAACGUAGCGAAAUGCGAUAAGUAGUGUGAAUUGCAGAAUUCAGUGAAUCAUCGAAUCUUUGAACGCACAUUGCGCCCUUUGGUAUUCCUUAGGGCAUGCCUGUUCGAGCGUCAUUUAAACCUUCAAGCUCAGCUUGGUGAUGGGUGACUGUCCCCCCCUCGCGGGGGGACUCGCCUCAAAAACAUUGGCGGCCGGUACAUUGGCUUCGAGCGCAGCAGAAACGCGGUCUCGAGCCCGGUGGAUCGGCUCCCAUAAGUCUAUUCUUUUAUUUUGACCUCGGAUCAGGUAGGGAUACCCGCUGAACUUAAGCAUAUCAAUAAGCGGAGGA